UAUUCAGCGCUAUUCAGCGCUACUCAUAGAAUGUUCAAAAUUUCAU
rfam:Glossina austeni unplaced genomic scaffold Scaffold51, whole genome shotgun sequence.